rnacentral:rRNA from 1 species
GCAAGUCGAGGGGUAACAGGGAGUGCUUGCACUCCGCUGACGACCGGCGCACGGGUGCGCACCGCGUAUGGAACCUACCUUUUGCAGGGGAAUAGCCCAGGGAAACUUGGAUUAAUGCCCCGUAGUACCAUUUUGCAGCAUUGCAUAAUGGUUAAAGACUUGGGGCGGCGGGAGAUGGCCAUGCGUCCCAUUAGUUUGAUGGUAAGGUAACGGCUUACCAAGACUACGAUGGAUAGGGGGGCUGAGAGGGGGAUC